rnacentral:rRNA from 1 species
CAACUCGCCUGCAUGAAGCUGGAAUUGCUAGUAAUCGCGGAUCAGCAUGCCGCGGUGAAUACGUUCCCGGGCCUUGUACACACCGCCCGUCACACCAUGAGAGUCGGGAACACCCGAAGUCCGUAGUCUAACCGCAAGGAGGGCGCGGCCGAAGGUGGGUCCGGUAAUUGGGGUGAAGUCGUAACAAGGUAUC